GGCAGGAGGAGAAGGGGACGACAGAGGAUGAGAUGGUUGGAUGGCAUCACCGACUCAAUGUGGAAUGGUCUAUACUCGGACCGGUGACUGGAUAAAGGUGUGCCCCUUUGCUUUCCUAAAAGGAAACUUUGUGGUUAAUCUAAAUAUUUCUCUAUUAUUGCAUGUUAGAUCUAUUGGUGGCAGUCAAGUUAUAAAGAGGUUGCAGGAUCCACAUUUAGAUUGCACUGAACUAGAUGAAGAAGGGGCGUGUCCAUGCCAUGUUGUUGCUCUGGAUGCAGUAGCUGCAAGUGAUUGGCAGUUGUCCACAGAUUGUUAGGUGUGGGCAUUUUGGAAUUGUAGAUAUGGGGGAAAUGGCAUAUGUGUUUAUAGGGCAAUCAAAAGGAGGACUGUAUGUAAACAUCUAUUUUGUCUCUUCUAUACCCCUUUGCUACCCUUUUCUCUACCUUACUCUCAUGGUUGCAUCGGGAGCCAUUCUUUAUGUAUCUUCCCAGAGAAUUUGGGAUUGAGCUGGAGGAGGAAAGAUGAAAAAUCCUGGCUGCAUUUCAGUACCUAAUUUAUUUGUUCCUAAGGGCCAUCUGCAUUAUCCUUGUGUUUUGUGAGAUACCAGCAACUUUAUAAUAAAUUCCUCUUUUUGUUUAA